rnacentral:rRNA from 1 species
ACGAACGCUGGCGGCGUGCCUAAUACAUGCAAGUAGAACGCUGAAGGAGGAGCUUGCUUCUCCGGAUGAGUUGCGAACGGGUGAGUAACGCGUAGGUAACCUGCCUGGUAGCGGGGGAUAACUAUUGGAAACGAUAGCUAAUACCGCAUAACAGUAGAUGUUGCAUGACAUUUGCUUAAAAGGUGCAAUUGCAUCACUACCAGAUGGACCUGCGUUGUAUUAGCUAGUUGGUGAGGUAACGGCUCACCAAGGCGACGAUACAUAGCCGACCUGAGAGGGUGAUCGGCCACACUGGGACUGAGACACGGCCCAGACUCCUACGGGAGGCAGCAGUAGGGAAUCUUCGGCAAUGGACGGAAGUCUGACCGAGCAACGCCGCGUGAGGGAAGAAGGUUUUCGGAUCGUAAAGCUCUGUUGUAAGAGAAGAACGAGUGUGAGAGUGGAAAGUUCACACUGUGACGGUAUCUUACCAGAAAGGGACGGCUAACUACGUG